AAACAAUCGUGGCUACAAAAAUCA
rnacentral:piRNA from 1 species